GCGCGUGUGAUGUGUUUGUGUAUCCUCAUUGUUUUUCUCUCUUGUGUGUUUCAUUGCGUGUAAACAGAGUCUUGUCUCUGUGUAUUUAAGUGUUAAGACGAUAUAGGACACUACAGUGUGUGACAGUAAACAGAGCUUACAGGAGGAUCAAACCUCCACAGAGUCUCUGGAUUCUGUCAGUAACGCUGGAGAACAGCAGCAGAUCCUGCAGACCAAACUGAAGAUGUGUUCAGUUAAAAUCAUCGACUGCACGAACCUCAUGAUGAAGAUUAAAACUGAACCCACAGAAAUCAAAACUGAACCCACAGAAAUCAAAACUGAACCCACAGAAAUCAAAACUGAACCCACAGAAGAGGAAGAUUGCACUGAUGAAGAUGACGAUUUUAUUCCAUCAGAUGUGAAGACUGAUUCAUGUUUGGAUAUAGAAAUAACGUCCUCAACAUCAAAAGAGCGACUGACAGACAGCACAAACUCUUUCCUGCAUCACCUGUGGAAAGACAUUCAGCUCACAGAGACAUUUAGAGAGACAUGAGAGAAAACACACAGAACAGAAACUCUUCACCAGAUCUGAGAUCAGCUUUACUACCUUACAAGAGAAGAAACUUCAUUCAGAAGACCACAGAGAGAAGAAGAAGCAGUUUCACUGUGAGCAGUGUGGGAGGAUUUCCUCUAAUCUAAAUGUUCACAUGAGGACACACAGUGAUGAAAAGCCUUUCUACUGCACUGAAUGUGGAAAAUACUUCAGAACCAAAGAAAAUCUUCAAACUCAUCAGAAAGUUCACACUGGAGAGAAACCUCAUCACUGUAGUGUCUGUGGGAAGAGUUUUAGUGUAAAACAUACAUUACUAAAGCACCAGAGGCUUCAUACAGGUGAAAAACCUUUCAAAUGCUAUCAGUGUGGCAAGACAUUUAUUUGUUCAAGUAAUUUAAGAGUCCAUCAGAGAGUUCAUACUGGAGAGAAACCUUAUCACUGUAGUGUCUGUGGGAAGAGUUUUAGUCAAGGGUCUUCAUUACUAAAGCACAAGAGAAUUCAUACAGGUGAAAAACCUUACAAAUGCUCUCAGUGUCACAAGACGUUUACUCAGUCAGUUCACUUAAAAUCCCAUCAGAGAGUUCAUACUGGAGAGAAACUUUAACACUGUAAUGUUUUUGGGAAGAGUUAAUCAACAGUCAAACUUUGUAAAGCACCAGUGACCUUAAUAAGGUUAUGACACCAAAAAUGUGUAUAAAGUUUAAAUAUUUUUAAAAGUUAAUAGUAAAAUAAGAACAAAUAAUCAAAUUAUGAGCAAUAUCACAGAUAACUACAACCGAACAAACAUACACAUGAAAUAAAACAGUGCUGUUCAUAUUUUCAGAUUGAUCUACAGUACUGUAUUUUCCUACUAUGAAAGUGUUGUUUUUUGACUGUUGUUUUAUUAGUGAAAUACAGUUGAAAUAACGUUACCCAUGUAAGUACACUAAAUGUUAGUUUCUGAACACUAAGAGGUGGUUUCCCGGACAGGGAUUAGCUUAAGACAGGACUAGGCCUUAGUUUAAUUAUGAAAUAUAACAGAACUUCCCAAACUUCAGAGUGGUAAGGCCCCCCUAAAACAUACCAACAGCUCCACAACCCCCCCCCCCCAUUUGUAUAUUACAUAUAUUUUAAUAAAGCAGAUUGUCUCUGUGUAUAAAAUUAUCAACAUUUAUUAACCAGUUUUUAAGAAUAUGAUGGGAAUUAUGAGAACUACGAGAAAUAUUUUGAAAAUUAUGAAAAAUAUUUUUAUAUUAUGGUGAGAGCUGAUGUAAACAUUUUUUACAAAUAUAUUUAAAUCCGUAACACUACAUACUUUCUGCAUACUAUUUACAAUUAUAAUGCAAAAGUGUGUAACAGAAGCUACAUAGUUCACAAAUAGUUCAUAAAUCGAUUGCAAUAAAUUACAUAAUUAUGUUUUAAAAAAAUCUUAAGCUAUUUACAAGCAAUGUAUCUCACCUUACUAUAAUGGAUUUUUUUAAUAUAUGGCUUAUGUUUAUGUAAAGGGGGGGAUCACAUUUCAGAACAUUUAGAAUAAUUAUUUUAAUAUUUUGAUUUAGCCUAGCCAAGGCCCCCCUGCACUACCGCUACGGCCCACAGUUUGGGAAGCACUGACUGAAAUAUUUUUUUUAUUAAAAACAUGCCAUACUAAAAACAUUACUUGUGUACAUUUUGAGGCAAAACAAAUGGCACUGGUGUAUUUUAAGAUAUGUCAGUUCAAGUUGUUUUCAGUUUGGACAGCUUUUAUAUUUAUUUUAUAUAACCUGUCUGGGAAACCGACCCUUAAAGGGGACAUUCCAUGAAAAUCAGACUUUUUCCAUGUUUAAGUGCUAUAAUUGUGUCCCCAGUGCUUCUACCAACCCAGAAAACAUGAAAAAUAGCAACCCUGUAACUUUGUUUUGGUAAGGCUCUCUCUGCAAGCAUGUGAAUAUAUAGGUCAUUCGGAUUUCGCUCCCCCCAUGACGUAGGUAGGGGAUCUUAUUAUAAUGAUACCACCCCUUUAACUUUGCUAUCCAACCAUGAACGGCCUCACGAGUGCGAUAGACAGAGAGAAAGAAUGACUGACAGCACGACGCGUUUGUAUUCCCUCAAACACAAACAGGAGCCUACAAUCUUAUAACUUGUAGUUUAAAUAAUCUUUCUAAAGGUUGAAUUAACGUUCUAACAGAUUAACGUUAUCUUAGUGCAAAGAGAGAGAGAGAGAUAGAGAGUGAGAGAGAGCGAGUGAGUGAUCGAACGAACGAGAGAGAGAGAGCAACGCGACGGUUCAAUUUCAUCAAUACAACAAGUAUGUUGUUUAAUAUGUUUCUCUGAAGUUUAUAUGAAUGAACACGAGAAGUAAUCUAGGGGCAACCUUCCGAUCUCUCUAAUGAAGCCAACACGGAAGUGACUUAAACUACAAUUCAUCGACUGGCCGCUUGAGGCUGGCUCCAAAAGGGAGUCAAUUCCCAUAGACUCCCAUGUUAAAAGUGGCCAACUUUACAGUAGAAAAUAAUAUGUUUACAGCCUGGUACAAAAAGUGUUUUUGGCCUAUAUAGCUAAUUUUGCCCUUCAUGACAACUGUGAGGGGGGUGAAUUUUUUUGUAACUUAUCCGUUUAAAUUAUAUUAAGCCUUAAACUUCAGCAUAAUUAAGGGCGUGGCCGCUUGAGUGUCGGUUGAACAGCCACUGCUGUCACUAGACUCGCGCUAGGCGGGCGUGGUUUCACCUCAGCUUCACCCAUGUCCCGCCUCUUUACCCAUUUUCAGUUUUCCGCGAGUAAUUCGCUGGGACGCGUGACCAAGAUGGCAACGGCAGGCAACGCCUACUUAAAGCGAUCUUCACAAACCAAUGGGUGACGUCACGGACAGAGAAAUUGUAACCUGUUUUAACUCAAUUAAAAAAAUUUAAAUUUAAAAUUUUAACCAUGUUUAACUCAAUUAAGAAAAGCAGACACCAACGGGACCAGUGUCUGUAACUUAAGAAAACAAACAACGUCUGAUUUCCAACAGAUAUUUUAUCAAAACUUGUGGUUACCAAAGACUUUAGCGUUACAAAACAACACGUAACUGUGUACAAUAUAUAAUUUUGGUCAGUAAAACCGCUUAAUAGUAAAUCACCAUCACCUGUUUUCGGCAGCAGCAACGGGAGAUGGCGCGUUACUACUAAUCUUUGCCGGGUUAUCCGUGUUUGGCGGGAAAAACGUGCAAAUAAUAAAUGUCAGAUCGACCGAUCCGGCUGAUCGAACAUCUGACCGCUGAACUUUUAGCGCCCAGCAGUGUGUGCGACCCAAGUGACGACAUGACAUCACGUCAACGCCUUAAAAACACUGCAACAACCCUUUCAGACCCUUUGCCUCCCACAGCUGUUCCAGUUCCAAUCUGUAUUGCUGGGCUUUUUAUGAGCCUGCUUACCUCAAGCGCGUCUGAGGUACAUAUGUUCAACUCUACACGUGAGGAUUUCCACCUUACCGAGGUCAACACCAUGGGUUACAUCAAGUAGACAUUCCUUGAAAUUAUUGUGACUUUGCUAUUAAAAUAAUCACUGAUCUUGCUUUCCAUUAUUCAUUGUCAGAUCUCCAGUUUAUUGUUUUUGGAAUCUAACUUUGUUAUUACUGUAUUAUUUUUAUUGUUGUUACACAGGCCUGCAUGUUGUUUUGUUCAUUUAUUUGAAUGCCUUAUUAUGGUCAAUGAUUCAUAUUUGAAAUAGA